AUUGAACGCUGGCGGCAUGCCUAACACAUGCAAGUCGAACGGCAGCACAGCAGUAGCAAUACUGUGGGUGGCGAGUGGCGGACGGGUGAGGAAUACGUCGGAAUCUGCCCAGUCGUGGGGGAUAACUAGCCGAAAGGUUAGCUAAUACCGCAUACGACCGAGAGGUGAAAGCGGGGGGCCGCAAGGGCCUCGCGCGAUUGGAUGAGCCGACGUCGGAUUAGCUAGUUGGCGGGUAAAGGCCCACCAAGGCGACGAUCCGUAGCUGGUCUGAGAGGAUGAUCAGCCACACUGGAACUGAGACACGGUCCAGACUCCUACGGGAGGCAGCAGUGGGGAAUAUUGGACAAUGGGCGCAAGCCUGAUCCAGCAAUGCCGCGUGUGUGAAGAAGGCCUUCGGGUUGUAAG
rnacentral:rRNA from 1 species